CAGUUUUUAUAAUAACUGUAACUUAUUUCUGUCUCUUAUAGCAUUUCCAGUACUUCGAGUCGAACUGAGUCAAUGGAAAUCAAUUCAAUUGAAAACUCAGUAGAAGAUGUUGAGAUGCUCAGACUUGAAAACUCGAUUGAAGAUGUUGAGAUGCUCAGCACUGAAGAAUAAACAGACUCCAAGGAUGUAUCCAGGUCCUCGAGAAUCUGAAGAACACUUGGACAACUAUUUUUCUAUUAACCCUCCCCCUUUCCCUUUCCUUAUGAACUGUCCUGGCUCCCCAACAAAUGGGUGUCAGGGCAGGUCUCCAAUAAUUUUACUUUAAUUUAUAUUGGGAGUUCCACGAUUAUAUUACAUGAAUAAGAGUCGGAGCUGGCCAGAUAUCCCAAACAUAUGAGGACUUCGGGAACAUAGACAUUUG